rnacentral:rRNA from 1 species
AUAAACGCUGGCGGCGUGCUUAACACAUGCAAGUCGAACGAAGUUUUUCUUUCGGGAGGAACUUAGUGGCGGACGGGUGAGUAACGCGUGGGUAACCUGCCCUGUACAGGGGGACAACAGCUGGAAACGGCUGCUAAUACCGCAUAAGCCCUUAGCACUGCAUGGUGCAUAGGGAAAAGGAGCAAUCCGGUACAGGAUGGACCCGCGUCUGAUUAGCCAGUUGGCAGGGUAACGGCCUACCAAAGCGACGAUCAGUAGCCGAUCUGAGAGGAUGUACGGCCACAUUGGGACUGAGACACGGCCCAGACUCCUACGGGACGCAGCAGUGGGGAAUAUUGCACAAUGGAGGAAACUCUGAUGCAGCGACGCCGCGUGAGUGAAGAAGUAUUUCGGUAUGUAAAGCUCUAUCAGCAGGAAAGAAAAUGACGGUACCUGACUAAGAAGCACCGGCUAACUACGUG